rnacentral:lncRNA from 1 species
UUCUGUAAUACCUAUGAUGGCCUCUUCUACUCCUCUCCCAACACCUCCCUUAUUUACAACCUCUGAAAUCCCUCCUUCAACCAUCAGAACCUCUCAACCUCCACCUGUUCUAAAAAUUGCUCGUAAUUUCACAACAACCUCUGACCCUAAUCAACUAUAUCACCACAGCUCUUCCUCAUCCUCUGAACCAGAAACACCCCCAUACUUUAGUGUUUCUUCAUCAUCAU